rnacentral:tRNA from 1 species
GCUUUAAUCGCUUAAACUUAAAGCAUCGGUCUUGUAAGCCGAAGAUUGAAGAUUAAAAACUUCUUAAAGCU